rnacentral:rRNA from 1 species
GACGAACGCUGGCGGCGUGCCUAAUACAUGCAAGUAGAACGCACAGUUUAUACCGUAGCUUGCUACACCAUAGACUGUGAGUUGCGAACGGGUGAGUAACGCGUAGGUAACCUGCCUGGUAGCGGGGGAUAACUAUUGGAAACGAUAGCUAAUACCGCAUAAUAUUAAUUAUUGCAUGAUAAUUAAUUGAAAGGUGCAAUUGCACCACUACCAGAUGGACCUGCGUUGUAUUAGCUAGUAGGUGAGGUAACGGCUCACCUAGGCGACGAUACAUAGCCGACCUGAGAGGGUGAACCGCCACACUGGGACUGAGAAACGGCCCAGACUCCUACGGGGGGCAGCAGUAGGGAAUCUUCGGCAAUGGACGAAAGUCUGAACGAGCAAAGGCGGGUGAGUGAAGAAGGUUUUCGGAUCGUAAAGCUCUGUUGUAAGGGAAGAAAGGGUGUGAGAGUGGAAAGUUCACACUGUGACGGUAUCUUAACAGAAAGGGACGGCUAACUACGUG